rnacentral:rRNA from 1 species
GACGAACGCUGGCGGCGUGCUUAACGCAUGCAAGUCGAACGAUGAAGCCGGGGCUUGCUCUGGUGAAUUAGUGGCGAACGGGUGAGUAACACGUGAGUAACCUGCCCUUGACUCUGGGAUAACUGCGGGAAACUGUAGCUAAUACCGGAUACGACCCUCGGCUGCAUCGCCAGGGGGUGGAGAGAAUUUCGGUCAAGGAUGGACUCGCGGCCUAUCAGCUAGUUGGUGAGGUAACGGGUCACCAAGGCGACGACGGGUAGCCGGCCUGAGAGGGUGACCGGCCACACUGGGACUGAGACACGGCCCAGACUCCUACGGGAGGCAGCAGUGGGGAAUAUUGCACAAUGGGCGCAAGCCUGAUGCAGCAACGCCGCGUGAGGGAUGACGGCCUUCGGGUUGUAAACCUCUUUUAGUAGGGAAGAAGCGAAAGUGACGGUACCUGCAGAAAAAGCACCGGCUAACUACGUGCCAGCAGCCGCAGUAA